rnacentral:tRNA from 1 species
GCCGAGUAUAAGUUAUGAAACACAGAGACUGCUAACUAUCUGACACGCGGUUAAACUCCACGAGUUACUCA